CCCGCACAAGCGGUGGAGCAUGUGGUUUAAUUCGAUGAUACGCGAGGAACCUUACCUGGGCUCAAAUGUAUGUUGACGUAUUCUGAAAGGGAUACUUCUUCGGACAAUAUACAAGGUGCUGCAUGGUUGUCGUCAGCUCGUGCCGUGAGGUGUCGGGUUAAGUCCCAUAACGAGCGCAACCCCUAUCAUUAGUUGCCAUCAGGUCAAGCUGGGGACUCUAAUGAAACUGCCUACGCAAGUAGUGAGGAAGGUGGGGAUGACGUCAAAUCAUCAUGCCCCUUAUGAUCUGGGCUACACACGUGCUACAAUGGCCGGUACAACGGGCAGCGAAGGAGCGAUCCGGAGCGAAUCCUAAAAAGCCGGUCCCAGUUCGGAUUGCAGGCUGAAACUCGCCUACAUGAAGUUGGAGUUGCUAGUAAUCGCGAAUCAGAAUGUCGCGGUGAAUGCGUUCCCGGGUCUU
rnacentral:rRNA from 1 species